UACAGAGGGUGCGAGCGUUAAUCGGAAUUACUGGGCGUAAAGCGCGCGUAGGCGGCUUUGCAAGUCGGGUGUGAAAUCCCCAGGCUUAACCUGGGAACUGCAUUCGAGACUGCAUUGCUAGAGUAUGGGAGAGGGCAGUGGAAUUUCCGGUGUAGCGGUGAAAUGCGUAGAUAUCGGAAGGAACAUCAGUGGCGGAAGCGACUGCCUGGACCAAUACUGACGCUCAUGUGCGAAAGCGUGGGGAGCAAACAGG
rnacentral:rRNA from 1 species